AUUACAUUUUUGCCCUGAAUCCCUGGGUAUAUAAGCGAUAACUCCAUCACUUUCUCAAUUCCAGUAGUCUCCAUCGACAUCAAUGCCUGUUGUUAGGCAAUUUCAAGCUUAUCAUCCAUCACAAUCAGUCUCAGCAAAAGCUUGCUCAAAACUUGAAGGAAGGUCACCAAGUUGCAGGCUCUCGCUCUCACACGAAGUAUCAAUAGGUAGCUUAUUUGCCAGAUUUGGGGAAUAGUUUUCAGCAAGAAAAGAGUUUUUGCAAAACGUUGGGCACUGCAAUAGAAAAGGAAGAAGGCAAAUCAGUUUCAUCUCCGAAUUCAAAAGGUUUAGAACAUCAAAUUAAGUUAUACGUGUUCUUCAAAUUAAGUUUCAGAUCACAACCCUUGCAAAUGCAAUUGAAGAGAUGUUAGAGUGACAGUGGUAGAGAAAUUGAGAACAAAACUGCAGCUCAUCAAACCUAUCCAGCACGAACUCUGAAGCACCCAAAUGGCCAAGUAUGUGCAACAUAAAAAAAGUUAUGCUGGAAGAACAUAGAAUGGUUUCAAACAGGCUCUAUAGGUCGGUGAAAAAGUUCACACAGAGGAACAUUCUAAGGAUUUACCCCAAAGAAACUUAAAGUUGCCUCCUCAAAUUACCAACCACAUAUUGAAUGGAUGCAUGGAGCUCAAAUGGUUGUGUCUAAUAUGAAGGGAUGUGAUAACACACGAUGGUUCAUGCAUGGGAUGUUUAGAGCCAAUGAUGAGGCCCUGCCUUUUUUAUGCACAAGGGCUCAAAUGAUGAGAUUUUUUGACAGGACCCGCCCCGGAUUUCACCCCGAAAUCCGGAGUGGCCCUGCGGGGCCCACCUUAGUGAUAACUC